ensembl:lncRNA
GUCACUUUGGAUUUACUUAAUUCCGUCCAAGAGGGAAAAAUAAGGGGAAAAAAUAAGGCUUUCUACUUAAAUGUAGGUUUUAAGGCAGUAUAGAGUAGGGUUUGUCUCCUCUUUUAAGACAUGAAUGAAGGUCAAGGUUAGGCAGACCUACCCUGUUCUCUCUCUCUCUCUCUCUCUAGGAGAGUAGCUGGUAUGGGCGGGGGUGGUGGGGGGAACGGUCCAGGAGGGAAGGCCUAGGGAGAGGGCGGUAACCUGGCUGCAGUGUCUGCAGGAGGCUCACCCCUGCAGGCCCAGCUGCCACAGCCUUGCACAAGCUGUGUGGUCGGGAACAAGGCGUGGCAUGGACCCACUGACACCUCUGGCAUGACCUUAAAGAUUGUGGAGAAAACGACCAGCACCCUCUGCAUCACACACUUAAGUAGCACAGAGAUUAGCAUGGAGAGUUCAAUAAACUGCUCAACGAACUAUUGACUGACUUGUGUGGGAUGCGGGGCAAAGUGCAAAAGCAAAGCUAACCGUGUUGCAGCCUUUGCCACCUCGGUUUCUGAGUUGUGGACUCGCACAGCCAUUCAAAAUGGAAAGUAAACUGGUAUUUCAGCUACUUCUUGCUGAAGUCAGCAUGUCAAGCUUGUUUAAAACGUGACUGCAUACUUCCCCUGGCUCUGCGCUCUGGGCUGGGCUCAGCUGGGUGGUUCUUCCACCCUGCCAGGUGUCUCCUGGGGUGGAAGGUUCCAAAGAGCAUCUUCACUCAGACUUCUGGGGCUUCAGCUGAGGUGGCUGGAACGAGGGGAUGACUGGAACACUUGUGCCCCAUGUCAGCACAGCAGCUAGACCUCUUUACAGAGUAACUCAGGACUUCAAGAGACAAUGUCCCAAGAGGACAGACCCCAGCAUUCAAAUAUUUAUCAAGGCUCUGUGCCCAGCACACCUGCUACCAUCCCAUUGGCCAAAGCAUGUUAGUUAUGUGUCCAAUCCGGGAAUUUACAUGCGAGGAAGAGGGCUGAAAGUCAGUGGAGACCACCAAUGCAUGGACCCACCACAACCAGGAAAAGCCCUGCAUACAGCAGUAAAUAAACUGCCAUGGAUCACCCAGGAUGAAGCUCUCCUUUCAGUUAGGAAGACACCAUGAAGGACUUCAAUCAUUCAUUCAUUUAACAAGUAUUUCUCGGGAGUGCAGAGACUUCCCUGGUGGCUCAGACGGUAAAGUGUCUGUCUAUGCCUGAGACCUGGGUUCGAUCCCAGGGUCGGGAAGUUCCCUGGAGAAGGAAAAGGCAACCCACUCCAGUACUCUUGCCUAGAAAAUCCCAUGGAAGGAGGAGCCUGGUGUCCAUGGGGUCGCAAAGAGUCCGACACGACUGAGCGACUUCACUUUCACUUUCUCGGGAGUGCAGAUGCUGAGGAUUUGGUAUGGACGAGACAGGGCAAGUGACUUGCUUGGGUCAUGUUCAAUCUGCAGUCUGUGUUUAGACAUGGCACAAACAUCCCCAAGAACUCGGAGGAGACUGCCAGGGAAGGCCUGGGCCUCCUUCCCGGAACAGCCUGCUUCAGACCAGCUCGGUGUCUCCAGCUCGGUGUCUCCUCCCCGCAUCCCAGCGACCCCCUGCCAUAGGCAGGGCUGGAACCCAGCAGGCUGGACCCUCACUGCGAGGGAACACGGAUCACAGCCUCCCCGCCACCCCAUUUGCUCUCCAAAGGUCAGCAGCUUGAGACAAUGUGUUUUAGGGAUUUCCCAAUCAGCUAGUAUUUAAAAGAUGUUUAUACUGAAAAAAGAAGAUAGAGCCUCUGGCAACUAGGAAAACACAGAAUAAAAGUUUUCCCUGG